rnacentral:rRNA from 1 species
AGAAUACUCAAGCUAUGCAUCCAACGCGUUGGGAGCUCUCCCAUAUGGUCGACCUGCAGGCGGCCGCGAAUUCACUAGUGAUUGGAUUAGGCAUGCAAGUCGAACGAGGAUAUAUCCUUCGGGAUAUAAGCCGAGUGGCGCAAGGGUGAGUAAUGCAUAGAUUACCUGCCUCUAGGAUAAGGACAACUUUGUGAAAACGAAGCUAAUACUUAAUAAUACAAAUGGAAAUAAUUUCCUUUUGUCAAUGGGAGGGUAGCAAUACCCUUUGCCUGGAGAGGGGUUUAUGUCCUAUCAGCUUGUUGGUGGGGUAAUGGCCUACCAAGGCGAAGACGGGUAGCCGGUCUUAGAGGAUGGUCGGCCACACUGGGACUGAGACACUGCCCAGACUUCUACGGAAGGCUGCAGUCGAGAAUCUUUCGCAAUGCCCGAAAGGGUGACGAAGCGACGCCGCGUGAGUGAGGAAGGCCUUCGGGUUGUAAAGCUCUGUCAGGAGUUAAGAAAUAUAAGUGUGCUAAUACCAUAUUUAUUUGACGAAAGCUCCAAAGGAAGCCACGGCUAACUCUGUGCCAGCAGCCGCGGUAAUACAGAGGUGGCAAGCGUUGUUCGGAAUUAUUGGGCGUAAAGAGCACGUAGGUGGGUUUGUAAGUCAGAUGUGAAAGCCUUCUGUUCAACGGAAGAAUUGCAUCUGAAACUGCGAGUCUCGAGUGUAGGAGGGGAGAAUGGAACUUCUGGUGGAGCGGUGAAAUGCGUAGAUAUCAGAAGGAACGCCGGCGGCGAAAGCGAUUCUCUGGCCUAUUACUGACACUCAGUGUGCGAAAGCUAGGGGAGCAAACGGGAUUAGAUACCCCGGUAGUCCUAGCCGUAAACGAUGGGCACUAAGUAGAGAGGUUUUAAUCGAAUUCCCGCGGCCGCCAUGGCGGCCGGGAGCAUGCGACGUCGGGCCCAAUUCGCCCUAUAGUGAGUCGUAUUACAAUU